AAAGUCGUAACAAGGUUUCCGUAGGUGAACCUGCGGAAGGAUCAUUACAAAUCCAUCCACCAUCCGGUGCGCGUCCACCCACAGCCGCCAGGCUUGGGCGAGACCUCGUUGAAGCGUGUCCUCGAGGGAGCGGAGCAGAGCGAGCGGGUGGGCGGGCGUGUCUGCCUGAGAGGGUGGACUCGACUCGCUCGACCCCUGCCCUGCCCUGCCCCCCUCGAUGGUAAAACAACCACUGAGCGUGAUCGUCGUGUUCAUCUGUAUGUCUCUUGAAGAAUCACACACACACAGAACAACUUACAACAAUGGAUCUCUAGGCUCCU
rnacentral:misc_RNA from 1 species